UGUGGGCGUUAGAGCAUUGAGAGGACCUUUCCCUAGUACGAGAGGACCGGGAAGGACGCACCUCUGGUGUACCAGUUAUCGUGCCUACGGUAAACGCUGGGUAGCCAAGUGCGGAGAGGAUAACUGCUGAAAGCAUAUAAGUAGUAAGCCCACCCCAAGAUGGUGGCUCUCUCCUCCGACUUCCCUAG
rnacentral:ncRNA from 1 species